rnacentral:rRNA from 1 species
AGAUUGAACGCUGGCGGCAGGCCUAACACAUGCAAGUCGAGCGCGAAAAUUUCUUCGGAGAUGAGUAGAGCGGCGGACGGGUGAGUAACGCGUAGGAAUUUGCCCAGUAGUGGGGGACAACUCGGGGAAACUCGAGCUAAUACCGCAUACGCCCCAAGGGGGAAAGCAGGGGAUCUUCGGACCUUGCGCUAUUGGAUAAGCCUGCGUCGGAUUAGCUAGUUGGUAGGGUAAGCCUACCAAGGCGACGAUCCGUAGCUGGUCUGAGAGGAUGAUCAGCCACACGUGGGACUGGACGACCACGGCCCAGACCUCCGUACGGGAGGCAGCAGGUGGGAAUAGUUGGACAAGUCGGGGGCAACCGUGAACUCCAGACCAGUCGCCGG